rnacentral:rRNA from 1 species
GACGAACGCUGGCGGCGUGCUUAACACAUGCAAGUCGAACGGAAAGGCCUGCUUUCCCUUGUGGAUUGCGGGUACUCGAGUGGCGAACGGGUGAGUAACACGUGAGUGAUCUGCCCCCAACUUGGGUAUAAGCCUGGGAAACUGGGUCUAAUUCCCGAUAGGACUGCAGGGUGGUGCCUGUGGUGGAAAACGAUUUUCUAGUGGUUGGGGAUGAGCUCGCGGCCUAUCAGCUUGUUGGUGGGGUAAUGGCCUACCAAGGCGGCGACGGGUAGCCGGCCUGAGAGGGUGGACGGCCACAUUGGGACUGAGAGACGGCCCAGACUCCGACGGGAGGCAGCAGUGGGGAAUAUUGCACAAUGGGCGGAAGCCUGAUGCAGCGACGCCGCGUGGGGGAUGACGGCCUUCGGGUUGUAAACUCCUUUCGACCGCGAGGAAGCCACCUGGUUGGAAGGGUGGUGACGGUAGUGGUAGAAGAAGCACCGGCUAACUACGUG